UACGUAGGAGACGAGCGUUGUCCGGAAUUACUGGCGUAAAGCGCGUGUAGGCGGUAUGAGCAGUCUGCUGUGAAAGCUCCUGGCUUAACCGGGAGUGGUUCGGUGGAAACUGCUCGUCUGGAGGACGGGUAGAGGUAGGUAGAAUUCCCGGUGUAGUGGAUGAAAUGCGUAGAGAUCGGGAGGAAUACCUGGUGGCGAAGGCGGCCUACUGGGCCGGACCUGACGCUGGAGACGCGAAGGCGUGGGGAGCGAACGGG
rnacentral:rRNA from 1 species